rnacentral:rRNA from 1 species
UGACGGAACUCUUCGGAGGGAAGGCAGCGGAAUGAGCGGCGGACGGGUGAGUAACACGUAAGGAACCUGCCUCAAGGAUUGGGAUAACUCCGAGAAAUCGGAGCUAAUACCGGAUAGUUCAUCGGACCGCAUGGUCCGUUGAUGAAAGGCGCUCCGGCGUCACCUUGAGAUGGCCUUGCGGUGCAUUAGCUAGUUGGUGGGGUAACGGCCCACCAAGGCGACGAUGCAUAGCCGACCUGAGAGGGUGAUCGGCCACACUGGGACUGAGACACGGCCCAGACUCCUACGGGAGGCAGCAGUAGGGAAUCUUCCACAAUGGACGAAAGUCUGAUGGAGCAACGCCGCGUGAGUGAUGAAGGUUUUCGGAUCGUAAAACUCUGUUGUAAGGGAAGAACACGUACGAGAGGAAAUGCUCGUACCUUGACGGUACCUUACGAGAAAGCCACGGCUAACUACGUGCCAGCAGCCGCGGUAAUACGUAGGUGGCAAGCGUUGUCCGGAAUUAUUGGGCGUAAAGCGCGCGCAGGCGGCCUUUUAAGUCUGAUGUGAAAGCCCCCGGCUCAACCGGGGGAG